UACGGAGGAUCCGAGCGUUAUCCGGAUUUAUUGGGUUUAAAGGGUGCGUAGGCGGCCUGUUAAGUCGGGGGUGAAAGCCCAGAGCUCAACUCUGGAACUGCCUUCGAAACUAGAGGACUUGGGUACGGGAGAGGUGAGUGGAAUUCCGAGUGUAGAGGUGAAAUUCGUAGAUAUUCGGAAGAACACCAGUGGCGAAGGCGGCACACUGGCCCGUUACCGACGCUCAGGCGCGACAGCGUGGGGAGCAAACAGG
rnacentral:rRNA from 1 species